GCGAGUUCUAUCGGGUAAAGCC
rnacentral:sRNA from 1 species